rnacentral:rRNA from 1 species
AACGAACGCUGGCGGCAUGCCUAACACAUGCAAGUCGAACGAGAUCUUCGGGUCUAGUGGCGCACGGGUGCGUAACGCGUGGGAAUCUGCCCUUUGGUUCGGAAUAACAGUUGGAAACGACUGCUAAUACUGGAUGAUGACGAAAGUCCAAAGAUCUAUCGCCAGAGGAUGAGCCCGCGUAGGAUUAGCUAGUUGGUGUGGUAAAGGCGCACCAAGGCGACGAUCCUUAGCUGGUCUGAGAGGAUGAUCAGCCACACUGGGACUGAGACACGGCCCAGACUCCUACGGGAGGCAGCAGUGGGGGAUAUUGGACAAUGGGCGAAAGCCUGAUCCAGCAAUGCCGCGUGAGUGAUGAAGGCCUUAGGGUUGUAAAGCUCUUUUACCCGGGAUGAUAAUGACAGUACCGGGAGAAUAAGCUCCGGCUAACUCCGUGCCAGCAGCCGCCGUAA